UCACCUGGAAACCAGAAAGCAAAUAUAGCCCUGUGCCGCCCGCCCCGGGUAUUUAUAGCUCAGCACGGGGUAGCGGUGGGCAGAACUGGCCCCGUGUCACAGUCGAGGUGACCGGAGAGGCCACCUGGCUUUUUGGUGACACCUCCACAUGACCCGGUGGCCGAGCAUCCCGCGGGGGGGGUCCCCCCCGUGGCGGCGGGCGUCGAGGUGGUCUCACCGGAGCAGCAGAGGCGGUGGCAGAGCUACUUCGUCCGCGUGGGCUCUCUCUCGGCCAAGCUGCGGCACAGAGCCCUGCGGCGCUCGCUGGGUGAGCUGCAGCGGGCACGGCACAGCGCCCAGCAGCUCCUGGCCCAGCUCCACCGCAUCUUCGAGUUGAUUGAGCAGGGGCGGCAGGGCAUGGACGUACCCCUCUACGGCACCCGGCAGCAUCUCCACCGCAUGUGGCUGGAGUGGAGUCAGCAGGACGCCGUGCCCAUGGAGGAGAGUGAGACGGCGCCGGCGGUCAGUGGGGCUCAGCCCAUCCUCACCAAGCUGGAGCCGCAGAUUUCCACCGCCAACGAGUACGCCUGCAAAGGACUGGACAAGCUGGAGGAGAAGCUGCCCAUCCUGCAGCAGCCCACGGAGAAGCUCAUCUCGGACACCAAGCAGCUGGUGACAUCCACGGUGACGGGGGCCAAGGAUGUCCUGACCAGCACCGUGGCUGGGGCCAAGGACGUGGUGACCAGCCGGGUGACGGGUGUGAUGGACAUGACCAAAGGGGCCGUGCAGGGCAGCAUGGAGCUGACCAAGUCAGCGGUGAGCAGCGGUGUCAGCACCGUCAUGGGCUCCACCGUGGGCCAGAUGGUGAUGAGCGGGAUGGGCUCUGUGCUGGAGAAGUCGGAGGAGCUGGUGGACCAUUACCUGCCCAUGACAGACGAGGAGCUGGCCACGCUGGCCACGGCCGUGGAGGGCUUUGAAACAGAGCAGCAGAAGCAGCAGCAAAGCUACUUCGUGCGUUUGGGCUCCCUCUCGACCAAGCUGCGGCACCGAGCCCUCCAACACUCGCUGGGUAAGCUGCAGAACGCCCGCCGCAGCAGCCAGGACGUGCUGGCCCAGCUCCAAUGCACCCUCGACCUGGUGGAACACCUCAAGCAGGGCAUGGACCAGAAGCUGCAGGGAGGGCAGGAGAAGCUGCAGCAGAAGUGGCUGGAGUGGAGCAAGAAGCAACCGGGCGGUGGCAAGGACCUGGUGCCACCAGAGGUAGUUGGAGGGCAGGGGGUCCCCGGGGCCACCACGUGCCGCCCCCAGGGACCCCCCGCCAGCAUCCAGGACACGGCGGGGCAGGUCCGGCAAAACGUGGAGGAGCUACGGGCAUCCCUCGCCUCCGCCGCCUCCCUCCAGGACGUGACGGGCAGCGUGCUGGCCCAAGCCCGUGCCCACGCCACCAAAGCUCGUCAGCUGAUGGACGAGCUGGUGGAGCACGUGGCCCACAACACCCCCCUGACCUGGCUGGUGGGACCCUUCGCCCCCUCGGGCCAACGCCUGGUGGACCUGGAGAUGAAGUAG